UCCUUUACUAAUCUUGAUUCAACUGUAUGCCAACACUAAUUAUAAUAUUACACUUCUUUCCAACCCUAUUGGGUUAUGUCCAAGCUGCAAGAUUUAUUUGUACUCAGCUAAAAAAGGAGAAACUUUAUCACUAGUUACUUUAGAGAGGUGGUUGCUCACAUCAGAGAGAAUAAAAUUAUUUCCGAGAUUUAAAGGUGAGACAGUGUCAACAUGUGAUUGCCUGCUCUGUAUCAUGUCAAGAGAUAAAUCCAAAUCUAUAAACCUUCAGGAUGUAUUAAACAUGUACAUUAAUGACCCUGAAGUGCCAAAGGAGGUUAUAGAUAAAAUUUGUUGUACUUGUUAUCAGAGAAUUGGAUCUGGAAUUCAACAAACCUGUAAUAAGAGAGACAUUGUACAGAACCUAAAAACACUGCUAAUGUCAACAGGUAAGAGCUUAAUUAUAGUUUUUUUAAACCUAAAUUUUUACGUAAUCCUAAAACAUAUUUACAAAUUUUCAGGUUUAAAAACAGUUGAGCAAGUACUUAGC